rnacentral:hammerhead_ribozyme from 1 species
AUCCAGCUAACGAGUCCCAAAUAGGACAAAACACGCGUCAAACUGGAU